rnacentral:pre_miRNA from 1 species
AGUAUAAUUGCUGGGUCAUAUGGUAGUUAACAUGUUUAGUUUUUUAAGAAGCUGCCCAACUAUUUUCCACAGUGACUGUACCAUUUUGCAUUCCCACCAGCAAU